AACGAACGCUGGCGGCAGGCCUAACACAUGCAAGUCGAACGCUCCAGCAAUGGAGAGUGGCAGACGGGUGAGUAACACGUGGGAACCUUCCCUUUGGUUCGGAAUAGCCCAGGGAAACUUGGGGUAAUACCGGAUAAGCCCUUACGGGGAAAGAUUUAUCGCCGAAGGAUGGGCCCGCGUCGGAUUAGCUAGUUGGUGGGGUAACGGCCUACCAAGGCGACGAUCCGUAGCUGGUCUGAGAGGAUGAUCAGCCACACUGGGACUGAGACACGGCCCAGACUCCUACGGGAGGCAGCAGUGGGGAAUAUUGGACAAUGGGCGCAAGCCUGAUCCAGCCAUGCCGCGUGAGUGACGAAGGCCUUAGGGUUGUAAAGCUCUUUUGGCGGGGAAGAUAAUGACGGUACCCGCAGAAUAAGCUCCGGCUAACUUCGUGCCAGCCGCCGCCGUAAAAC
rnacentral:rRNA from 1 species